UACGAAGGGGGCUAGCGUUGCUCGGAAUCACUGGGCGUAAAGGGUGCGUAGGCGGGUCUUUUAAGUCAGGGGUGAAAUCCUGGAGCUCAACUCCGGAACUGCCUUUGAUACUGGCGAUCUAGAGAUCGAGAGAGGUGAGUGGAAUUCCGAGUGUAGAGGUGAAAUUCGUAGAUAUUCGGAAGAACACCAGUGGCGAAGGCGGCUCACUGGCUCGAUACUGACGCUGAGGUGCGAAAGCGUGGGGAGCAAACAGG
rnacentral:rRNA from 1 species